UCCUGUGGAGCAUCAAAAUUCUUGUUUCUCUGUGUUAAGCACACAGAAUCCUGAGGUACAUGGAAGGAAUUUGUGAUCUAUUUGGCCCCAAGGGAUGAUGGAAAAAGAGAUAAAUGGCAUCUCCAACUGUGAGCAGUCUGUGUUAAGCACACAGAAUCCUGAGUACAAGGAAGGAAUUUGUGAUCUAUUUGGCCCCAAGGGAUGAUGGAAAAAGAGAUAAAUGGAAAUACAAACUGUGAGCAGUUUCUGCUCGGAACUGUAAACAUCAAUGCGGACUUUUUGACAGAUGGAGUGGUUCUAUUUUGUUGGUUCUAGGAACUGAGAUCAUAAUUAAGAGGGGUGCUUGGGACAUAUGUAUUGAGCCACUAAAGGUGAAAUUCUUGGACUAGUGCAAGACAGACCAGCAGGAAAACAUUUGCCAAGAAUGUUUUCAUUAAUCAAGAAAGACAGUCGGAGGUUUGAAGAUGAUCAGAUAUAAUCCUAGCUCCGACCACAAACAAUGCCGACUGGAGAUGCAGUGGUGUUGUUGCAGGGGCAGCUUCCUGAAACCUUAAGUGUUUGGGUUUGGGGGGUAAAUGGUUUCAAAACUGAAACUUAAAGGAAUUGAUGGAAGGGCACCACUAGGAGUGGAGCCUGCAGCUUAAUUUGACUCAACACAGGAGACCUCACCCAGACCAGGAUUAACUGUGACUCUGAUUUCAAAUGUAUAUUCUAUGCAUUGAGUAAUUUGGAAGCUGAUCUAUUUAACAUAACAGACUUUUUGUGAAGGCUCUCUCUUCAUAGUCCUUA
rnacentral:ncRNA from 1 species